GCACACGUGGCCUAGCUUGGAUAUGGCAGCAGCCUCCUAAGCUGCAAGUCGGGGGUUCGAAUCCCCCCGUGUGCG
rnacentral:tRNA from 1 species